GGAUUAGAUACCCUGGUAGUCCACGCUGUAAACGAUGUCAACUAGCUGUUGGCCUUAUAAAUAAGGUAAGUGGCGAAGCUAACGCGAUAAGUUGACCGCCUGGGGAGUACGGUCGCAAGAUUAAAACUCAAAGGAAUUGACGGGGGCCCGCACAAGCGGUGGAGCAUGUGGUUUAAUUCGAUGCAACGCGAAGAACCUUACCUACCCUUGACAUAUAGACUAAGACUUAAGAGAUUAGGUUGUGCCGAAAGGAAGGUCUAUACAGGUGCUGCAUGGCUGUCGUCAGCUCGUGCCG
rnacentral:rRNA from 1 species